AAACCUCCUGUAACAUCAUCGGGAAAGGAGAUCCUCCCGCUUGGCUUAACGCAGCCCCGGGUGCUAAGGGUAAAACCAACGGCCGCACCUGCCACACGCCUCCCGCAGCAACACCGAGGGGUUAUACUGAGAACUGUCACUGUGUGUCACAGACUGGUUAACGCACAGACACCCGCCCUUGCAGUGUGCACAGCUGCAAGAAGCCGAAUUUGGGAAUUCUCAAAUCAUUUUAAGAACUUCACACGGGCGGGAAUUGUUUUGGAAACUGGGAGCCUUGGGCAAGGCCUGGGAGAGGCUUUGGAGGCGUGAAGCAGCAGCCACAGGCCAGUUAGUUGACCUGAGCUGGAGCCAGGAAAUCACCGCACCCUGGGGACACAAGAAAGGCAAAGGGAAUACAACUUCAAGUUCACAACUUGCAGUCCUCAUCUCCCCCGUGAACCCUCCCCCUGCUCCAAUCACAGUAUGGAGCUUCAGGGUGCUUCUGCUCGCUCCAAGCACCUCCAGUCAACACAUUUGUUCCUUGCAUCUCACCCCUUGUGUUCUCUUCUUCAGGAUCUGCAACCCACUCAUCCCUACUGACUGCAGCCAACAUGCAGUGAAGUGGGUAUGGAAGUGAGAACCAAAGACUACCAAAAGAGUGAAUGUAUACUGACAAAGAAAAUGGACAUGUGUGCAAUAAACAGAGUAGCACUGCACAGAGGUGCAUGAUGGUGACCUGGUAUAAAUCCACUCUGCCAUGCUGUGUUCUGGACCACAAAGAGAAUGAAGUAUUAGCACAUUUCUGUACAGUCAGUAGUACCUCUCAUUCUUCAGGCUGCCUGGGGUGAACCACCAAUAUGAAGAAUAUUUGCAAAGAUAAAAAUAGCUUCACAGAGAUACGAGAAGAUUAUCUGCUGGUUUGUAUUCAUUCCAUGGCUUCAGGAAUCAGAAAAGCUGGAAGCUGAGUUCAGAGACAAGUUUAGAUAUUGAGUUCUUGCUGAACAUUUUGCCCAGCAGACUUCUAAUACCCAAGAAUAGAUAUGUUAUAUUUUGGUGCGGGUCUUACUGCUGAGGAAAAAAAGAUGUUUCUCCUCUUUUCCUAGAUAUUGCUUUUUAUUUGUCAGUUUAUUCAUUCUAAUCUGAGUCUGUGUACCACAGGGACUUCCAGAAAGACAGGAAUUUUCUCUGCUCUACAUAAUUUUCUUUAGAUUCUAGCCUGAAUUCAUUAUCACUGUUAAUUUAGAAAGUAUAAACAGUUUACAAAUCA